AGAGUUUGAUCCUGGCUCAGGACGAACGCUGGCGGCGUGCUUAACACAUGCAAGUCGAACGGAAAGGCCCUGCUUGCAGGGUACUCGAGUGGCGAACGGGUGAGUAACACGUGGGUGAUCUGCCCUGCACUUCGGGAUAAGCCUGGGAAACUGGGUCUAAUACCGGAUAGGAGCCAUUUUUAGUGUGAUGGUUGGAAAGUUUUUUCGGUGUAGGAUGAGCUCGCGGCCUAUCAGCUUGUUGGUGGGGUAAUGGCCUACCAAGGCGGCGACGGGUAGCCGGCCUGAGAGGGUGGACGGCCACAUUGGGACUGAGAUACGGCCCAGACUCCUACGGGAGGCAGCAGUGGGGAAUAUUGCACAAUGGGCGCAAGCCUGAUGCAGCGACGCCGCGUGGGGGAUGACGGCCUUCGGGUUGUAAACUCCUUUCGCUAGGGACGAAGCUUUUUGUGACGGUACCUAGAUAAGAAGCACCGGCUAACUACGUGCCAGCAGCCGCGGUAAUACGUAGGGUGCGAGCGUUGUCCGGAAUUACUGGGCGUAAAGGGCUCGUAGGUGGUUUGUCGCGUCGUCUGUGAAAUUCCGGGGCUUAACUCCGGGCGUGCAGGCGAUACGGGCAUAACUUGAGUACUGUAGGGGUAACUGGAAUUCCUGGUGUAGCGGUGAAAUGCGCAGAUAUCAGGAGGAACACCGAUGGCGAAGGCAGGUUACUGGGCAGUUACUGACGCUGAGGAGCGAAAGCAUGGGUAGCGAACAGGAUUAGAUACCCUGGUAGUCCAUGCCGUAAACGGUGGGCGCUAGGUGUGAGGGUCUUUUCACGACUUUCGUGCCGUAGCUAACGCAUUAAGCGCCCCGCCUGGGGAGUACGGCCGCAAGGCUAAAACUCAAAGGAAUUGACGGGGGCCCGCACAAGCGGCGGAGCAUGUGGAUUAAUUCGAUGCAACGCGAAGAACCUUACCUGGGCUUGACAUACACCAGAUCGCUGCAGAGAUGUAGUUUCCCUUUGUGGCUGGUGUACAGGUGGUGCAUGGUUGUCGUCAGCUCGUGUCGUGAGAUGUUGGGUUAAGUCC
rnacentral:rRNA from 1 species